GAUGAACGCUAGCGAUAGGCUUAACACAUGCAAGUCGAGGGGCAGCGAGAUGUAGCAAUACAUUGUCGGCGACCGGCGAAUGGGUGCGUAACACGUAUGCAACUUACCUUUUAGAGGCGAAUAACCCGAUGAAAGUCGGACUAAUACGCCAUAUGCUCCCUUAGUCACAUGAUUAAUGGAGGAAAGAUUCAUCGCUAAGAGAUAGGCCUGCGUUCCAUUAGCUAGUUGGAGAGGUAACGGCUCACCAAGGCAACGAUGGAUAGGGGGACUGAGAGGUUGACCCCCCACAUUGACACUGAGAUACGGGUCAAACUCCUACGGGAGG
rnacentral:rRNA from 1 species